AAACUUAUAUACAUUUUCAAGUUUAAUAGGUUUAUUAGAAAAUAAUAAUUGCCGCAUUAUCCUAAUGAAAAAAAAAAUCUAAUUGUUUCUGGAUCUAGGCGCUAGGGGCAGAAUUCUGCCAUCUGCUGGUUAAAGAAAAUCCUGUAGGAAUGACUUAUAUUCUGAAAGUCAAUUCUUAUAACUCAACCCUCCAAACAGAUGCAUUAAAUGAUCUUCGACAUAAACAGCGAAUAACUUGCAUGUGUAUGCCCUGAUCAGUUCUGUACUGUCUGCACGCGCAGUGUCUGAUUUCAGCCGCGCGAGUCGUGCGCGAGUAAUUAGAAUGCGCGUGAACGCAGCAUUUUAAACUUCAACCGUUACGGACGUCCGUUUGAGCUCAGCGCUCGAGAGGACGACGAUUAAAUUGAAUCAAAAAGAAGAAAUGUGGUUUACGGUGCUGUCCGGCCUGCGCUAUUCUCCGCCAGGAGAAAACGCACAAGAAAACGAUGUUUCAGGAGCAGUCAAAUCACGUGAUCACUGUACACCCAGACUGUUAUAAACAUGAAUUCAAGAGAAACCACGAAGAACAAAGAGAGGAGGUGAUGAAGAUGCUUCUUCUGUGGAUAUAGCUGGAUGGACUCUGGAGUGCAGCAUUACUUCAAUAAGAUGAAAAUAACACACCUGUAUGAUUCAAGAUGUCAAGCCCCCUGAACGCAAAGAGAGUCUGCAUCAAAAUGGACGUGAACCUGACUGAAAACACAGAGAUGUCAAAAGUAUCUGUUGGCUGUCUACUUUUGUUCAAUAUGGAGCAUCCAAAUGCCAGUUUCUUUCAUUCAGCACUAUUUAGCCCUUCUCAGUACUGAAUUUGCCGCCAUGGGUCAUUUGUUUUUAUUGUUUAAAUGCUUAUCUGAAUGUUAAAUUAUCAUUUAACGCUCAAAAAAAAUUCUACUAGCUAGUCUUUUAGUUAAUUUUUUUAGAAACAUUUAUUUAUGUUAACUCUUCUAACUAUUGCUCUAUGAAUUGCAGUGUUUUAUAUUGCUUGUGUCAUUGUAAAUGCUAAUAAAAAUGUCUUA